CUCUUUAAUCAGGUCAUGUAAUACAUUAGCAUUACAGUUUUGCAAUAUCUGUUAUCUCUCUAAAAAAUAUACGCUUUUCAGUCAAUAAGACUUAAUUUAAGAGUUAGAAUUUGAACAAUAUUACUUUAAAGGAUGUUUCCGAUUGAGCUGACUUGCACAGUGUUUACCUUUAAUUCAGAGUCUGGACUAACAUGCAAACGCUGACUUUAAAUCCCAGUCAAGCUGUCCUCCCCAACUUUUGCUAUAAAGAUUGAGUCAUUUUUAUUAUGGUUACAAUUUGGUUCCCUCCACAUUGUCAGCACAGUAUUCUGUGUUUCUGUUCAUGUUCUGUACAGUUGUUUCUAAAGUUAAGUAAACCCCUUUUUUUGAGGUGUGUAGAGAACAUGUACAUUUUUGUAACAGUUUGCUGUUUUAGUUUUUUUAGAAUAUGAAUUUACUGAUCAUUUCAUAAUGUGUGAUUCAACAGAUGUCAUUGUGUCUGUAAUUAACCAGACCUGUUUGUGAAUAAACAAGCUACAGGCUACACAUUUAAUAGAGCGAAUCAUGUGAAUAACAACAUGUACGUUGUGCCGAGUUCAAUGUUUUCUGCUUCGACUAAAAGCAUUUUACUCAAUUUACUGGAACAGUCUUUGUGGCAGUCAAGACCUCCCAUGAUCCCGCUGUAAAUAACUUGUUCCUGGAUUCUGAGUAGUUUACCUUGACCGCUGGCUAAUGCAAAGACUUAGGACUCGUGACUCUGGCAUCAGUUAUCAGGAAGCUUCAAUUGUGUAAUUUUAUGAGGAUUGCACACAAAUGAAGUUUGUACAAUUUACCAUCAUAACAUCAUGUGAUAUACACUGCCAUUCAAAUGUUUGGGGUCACUUAGAAAUGUCCUAUUUUUUAUGUCCUUUUUUUCACCCAUUAAGAUAACAUCAAAUUGAUCAUAAAUACAGUGUAGACAUUAAUAGUGUUCUAAAUGAACAUUAUAGCUGGAAUGGCAUAUAAUGGAAUAUCUACAUAUGUGUACAGAGGCCCAUUAUCUACAGCCAUCAGUCCUGUGUUCCAAUGGCAUGUUGUGUUUGCUAAUCCAAGUUUAUAAUUUUAAAAGGAUAGUUGAUAAUUAAAAAAAUGUGUGCUGAUUAAAGAAGCAAUAAAACUGGC
ensembl:lncRNA